rnacentral:rRNA from 1 species
GACGAACGCUGGCGGCGUGCUUAACACAUGCAAGUCGAACGGAAAGGCCCUGCUUUUGUGGGGUGCUCGAGUGGCGAACGGGUGAGUAACACGUGAGUAACCUUCCCUUGACUUUGGGAUAACUUCAGGAAACUGGGGCUAAUACCUGAUAGGAGCUCCUGCUGCAUGGGGGGGGUUGGAAAGUUUCGGCGGUUGGGGAUGGACUCGCGGCUUAUCAGCUUGUUGGUGGGGUAGUGGCUUACCAAGGCUUUGACGGGUAGCCGGCCUGAGAGGGUGACCGGCGACAUGGGGACUGAGAUAGGGACCAGAGUCCAACGGGAGGCAGCAGUGGGGAAUAUUGUACAAUGGGGGGAAGCGUGAUGCGACAACGCUGGGUGUGGGAUGACGGUCUUCUGGUUGGAAACCGCUUUCGGCUGUGACGAAGCGUGAGUGACGGUAAUGGGUGAAGAAGCACCGGCUAACUACGUG